GCUGGAAUAGCUCAGUUGGUUAGAGCGUAUGGCUGUUAACCAUGAGGUCGGAGGUUUUACCCUCCUUCUAGCG